rnacentral:rRNA from 1 species
UACGUAGGGGGCAAGCGUUGUCCGGAAUCAUUGGGCGUAAAGAGCGUGUAGGCGGCUUGGCAAGUCUCGCGUGAAAUCCUGCGGCUCAACCGCAGGCGGUCGCGGGAAACUGCCUCGCUAGAGUCCGGAAGAGGAGAGUGGAAUUCCUGGUGUAGCGGUGGAAUGCGCAGAUAUCAGGAAGAACACCAACGGCGAAGGCAGCUCGCUGGGACGGUACUGACGCUGAGACGCGAAAGCGUGGGGAGCGAACAGG